rnacentral:rRNA from 1 species
AUUGAACGCUGGCGGCAUGCUUUACACAUGCAAGUCGAACGGCAGCACGGGCUUCGGCCUGGUGGCGAGUGGCGAACGGGUGAGUAAUACAUCGGAACGUACCCAGUAGUGGGGGAUAGCCCGGCGAAAGCCGGAUUAAUACCGCAUAUGACCUGAGGGGGAAAGCGGGGGACCGAAAGGCCUCGAGCUAUUGGAGCGGCCGAUGGCUGAUUAGCUAGUUGGUGGGGUAAAGGCCUACCAAGGCGACGAGCAGUAGCUGGUCUGAGAGGACGACCAGCCACACUGGGACUGAGACACGGCCCAGACUCCUACGGGAGGCAGCAGUGGGGAAUUUUGGACAAUGGGCGAAAGCCUGAUCCAGCAAUGCCGCGUGUGCGAAGAAGGCCUUCGGGUUGUAAAGCACUUUUGUUUGGAAAGAAAAGGUUUGGGUUAAUACCCUGGACUGAUGACGGUACCAAUCGAAUAAGCACCGGCUAACUACGUGCCAGCCGCCGCAGUAA